CAAUGAGACCUAAACUAAAACCUCCUCAAUCAAGUCGAGAGUGAACCAACAUGAGCAAGUCAUAUUAGAUUAAUUGAUCUAAUUAGUGUCUAGGAAAGCAUGAAAGGUGGUUACUUAAUUAGGACCUUACUCUCUGAGUAAGGGGAGCCUCCCACCUGCUUACCUGGCAAAUUGUUCGAUUACCUCUUAUGAAGAGCUCAAGUUGCAAACACUAAGACCUGAUUAACCGAUAUUAAGUCCAUAGGUCUUCCACUGUAGUAGAGCUGCUAAGGUCUUUCUGAUGUUGAUUUGUCUCGGCUGGACACAGUGGGCAAGUUGCAUCGGGGGGCUGGACCUCUCUAUAGACAUGAGAUGUUGUAGGAUAAAGGUGGGGUUGGGCACCAAUAACUGUUAGGUGAGGACCCAAUGACGACUUUAUUUCUACGGUUAUACGGUGGGUCUGACUUAACUAAGGAAUGGGACCAAUAACUGUUAGGUGAGGUCUUCAUGACUUAGAGACCAAGUAGCACUGCAACAUGCUUAAGAAGCAUUGUACAAGAGUUGUACACUCAUCUGUUUAUGUGUCACCAAUAACUGUUAGGUGAGGUGGCAUGUAAAUCGGUGGGACCGCAGUACCCACUAGAAACUCUAGUCGUGUAGGAUUUCCGUUUUCCUACCAGGGGAGUGUGAGGAAUUCGAGAAAAUAGUGGGAGGUACAUUUGUUCUAAAAGUUCUUAGAACAUAUUAAGAAUCAAGUACAAAAGUCUAACUAGAAUCUUUACUCUCUGCAGAUCAUAAUGUCAGCCUCAAAC
rnacentral:lncRNA from 1 species